GUGUCUUGCUCAGGGACACAUUGGUUGAUGUAUCGCAAUGGGAAUUGAACCCAGGUCUCCCACUUGCAACUUUGCGUUGAAUACCUGCAGACGAGGGACAUCUGAAUGUAUCUGCUUUAAUGCAACUAAACACAGAUAUGUCAGCCCCCCAUUGCAUGUGAGAGGAAACCACAACACUGACAGCCACGGUCACAGAGGAAGGAGGAGGAUGUGACCAUGAACUGAUCAAAGUGUAGCUCUCAUCAACACCUAGGUAUCAUUGCACCAUUGGUAGGAUGGAGAAAAUGUCUCUACUAUGGCUGCUCUUUCUCACCUCGAUGCUAAGAUGCACAACAAACCAAGGUUAGUUUCAGUUCUUCUAUCACAUCUGAUAGAACGGCUAACCCUCUUUCACACAUGGUUCCCGAUAUAAUACUGGGAUAGCCUGGCAUUAUCCCAGCGCUGUGCUGCAGUCAGGCCUGGCUACAUCACAGAUACAU